rnacentral:rRNA from 1 species
AGAGUUUGAUCCUGGCUCAGGAUGAACGCUGGCGGCGUGCUUAACACAUGCAAGUCGAACGAAGCACCUUGAUUUGAUUCUUCGGAUGAAGAUCCUGGUGACUGAGUGGCGGACGGGUGAGUAACGCGUGGGUAACUUGCCUCAUACAGGGGGAUAACAGUUAGAAAUGAUUGCUAAUACCGCAUAAGACCACAGCACCGCAUGGUACAGGGGUAAAAACUCCGGUGGUAUGAGAUGGACCCGCGUCUGAUUAGGUAGUUGGUGGGGUAACGGCCUACCAAGCCGACGAUCAGUAGCCGACCUGAGAGGGUGACCGGCCACAUUGGGACUGAGACACGGCCCAAACUCCUACGGGAGGCAGCAGUGGGGAAUAUUGCACAAUGGGGGAAACCCUGAUGCAGCGACGCCGCGUGAGCGAUGAAGUAUUUCGGUAUGUAAAGCUCUAUCAGUAGGGAAGAAAAUGACGGUACCUGACUAAGAAGCACCGGCUAAAUACGUGCCAGCAGCCGCGGUAAUACGUAUGGUGCAAGCGUUAUCCGGAUUUACUGGGUGUAAAGGGAGCGUAGACGGAGUGGCAAGUCUGAUGUGAAAACCCGGGGCUCAACCCCGGGACUGCAUUGGAAACUGUCAAUCUGGAGUACCGGAGAGGUAAGCGGAAUUCCUAGUGUAGCGGUGAAAUGCGUAGAUAUUAGGAAGAACACCAGUGGCGAAGGCGGCUUACUGGACGGUAACUGACGUUGAGGCUCGAAAGCGUGGGGAGCAAACAAAAUUAGAUACCCUGGUAGUCCACGCCGUAAACGA